rnacentral:rRNA from 1 species
UGAGUAACACGUAUCCAACCUGCCGUCUACUCUUGGACAGCCUUCUGAAAGGAAGAUUAAUACAAGAUGGCAUCAUGAGUCCGCAUGUUCACAUGAUUAAAGGUAUUCCGGUAGACGAUGGGGAUGCGUUCCAUUAGAUAGUAGGCGGGGUAACGGCCCACCUAGUCUUCGAUGGAUAGGGGUUCUGAGAGGAAGGUCCCCCACAUUGGAAUUGAGACACGGUCCAA